AUGUUGAAAGGUCUUUCAGAGGUGGCGGCAAGAGGUGCCAAGACUGACAAAGGAUUCAAAGAGGCUGAAAAAUUGAAAGUUGCAAAGUGUAUAUCUGCUUUCGUUGGUUAUGACGUGUCUAUUACUCAAGUGCACAAUCAUAUUCGCAAGUGGCGGAAUAGGUGGACAAGGAUUGUUUAUUUGAAGGGUUUAAGUGGGGCACUUUGGGAUGAUGACAAGAAGAUGGUAGUUCUAGAAGAACAACACUAUUUGGGCCACACUCAGGAUCAUCCAACAGAUGCUGAAUUGAAUUCCCCACUUGAGAACUACAACUAUAUGGAAAAUUGCUUUGCUAAUAAGCAAGCCACCGGGAAUUAUGCAAUGGCCACCGGUGUGCCACUCGGAACGCCUAUUGUUGUGGAAGACAAAGAUAAACCCGAUGUCAUGGAGGGGCAAGGAACAACUGAUGAGGUAUUGCAACAUCUUCCUGGGUCUAACUCGGUACUUCCUACUGCUAGUGCCUCUCAGGACCCUUCUCCUACUUCAAAUAAGAAGAGAAAGAGGGCAUCUGGCUUGACUAAGGAGGACUCAAUCCAGUGUAGCAACAUGACUGAUGCUAUGCGUGAGAUUGCAAGUGCUAUCAACAACACUUGCCAUGCUGAGACACACCUUGACUUGUACAACACUGUCAUGGACCUUCUUGUGUUUGAUCAAGAUGAGCGCUUGGCUGUUUUAGAUUAUCUCACAGAACAUAAGGCAAAAGGCACUGCUUCAAAUUAA
rnacentral:rRNA from 1 species